rnacentral:rRNA from 1 species
GAUGAACGCUGGCGGCGUGCCUAACACAUGCAAGUCGAACGAAGCACCUUGAUUUCCUCGGAUUGAUAGGUGACUGAGUGGCGGACGGGUGAGUAACGCGUGAGUAACCUGCCUUCAAGAGGGGGAUAACACAGAGAAAUUUGUGCUAAUACCGCAUGACACCGUAGUGUCGCAUGACACAUCGGUCAAAGAUUUAUCGCUUGAAGAUGGACUCGCGUCUGAUUAGCUAGUUGGUGAGGUAACGGCCCACCAAGGCGACGAUCAGUAGCCGGCCUGAGAGGGUGAACGGCCACAUUGGGACUGAGACAGGCCCAGACUCCUACGGGAGGCAGCAAGUGGGGGAAAUAUUGCGCAAUGGGGGAAACCCUGACGCAGCAACGCCGCGUGA